rnacentral:misc_RNA from 1 species
AAAACGUUCUUAGGCGUCGUCGACUUCAAAUCUCGAAUCCAGCUGAAAUGUCGACCCCGCGGAAACAGAAAUUCUGUGAGAAAGGUAUAUGUCUGUUCGUUAUAUUGGUGGCCGUAGUGGCAGGCAUCGUCGCCGUGUGUGUGGUCACUCUCACGGACAAGAACCUACGUCAGAGAGUACCAUCCCCGCCUCGGCUGGAGUGGUGGAAAACGACCAUUAUUUACCAGAUAUAUCCUCGGUCAUUCCAGGACUCUAACGGAGACGGAACAGGUGACCUGAAAGGUGUGACCAAGCGUCUCGAUUAUCUGCAGGAGCUAGGGGUAGGGACCCUAUGGCUAAGUCCUUUCUAUAUGUCUCCAAUGAGGGACUUUGGGUACGACGUUCAGAACUAUACUCAAGUGGACCCACUGUUUGGCACAAUGGACGACUUUGAUGUUCUAAUGAAAGAGGCCAAGAAAAGAGGUCUACGUGUACUGGUUGACUUCGUUCCGAACCACACCAGCAACGAGAGUUCGUGGUUCAACAACAGUCGACACAGCAUCGGCAAAUACCGGGACUAUUACAUUUGGGACGACGGCGUCAAUUGUUCCACGUGUCCAGAUACCAACUUCAAAAUGCCGCCAAAUGAUUGGGUAAGACCUGCCCAUAAAGAAAAUUGUCUUGAUUACUCAUCAAAUUACUAUUUUUAAAGGAACAAAUUUCCAAAACUAUAUAAAAAAAAAUUUAUUAUUGCAAAUGUUUGUAAGUUUUUUUUUCUACAAAAGUCCAUAUAGAUAAACAAUUAGUAUAUGUUUCUUGGAUCUAUUAAAUGUUUAUACAAUUGCAACAUAUACAUUUAGCAAAUUCAAUGAAUUAGAUAUACAUAUCUUUCCCUUUCCUCCACCCAACAAGCUCUUCUUCAUCUACAAUGUACUUCUUCUUCUUCACCCAUUUGUACACUGCAGAAGAGCGCUUUCCGCGGGUCGGCGUGGACCUAUGACGACAAUCGUAAACAGUUCUACUACCACGCCUACCUCGACUCUCAGCCGGACCUAAACGCUAGCAACCCGGACGUCAGGCAAGAAUUGAAGAACGUCUUGCGUUUCUGGUUAGAAAAAGGCGUGGACGGUUUCCGAGGUGAUGCCAUCAGAAAACUGUUCGAAUUCGAAGAUGUCCACAGGAAUGAAAACGGCGUUUUGAACUUGACCAGAAACCUCCCUGGCGUAUAUCCCGUGAUGAGAGAAUGGAAACAUUUUUUAGACAAAUAUUCGCAUGGGAAAGGGCAAGAAAAAAUAUUGAUAGCCGAGUCCUACGGAAUCACAAACGAAAUGAGGGAUGCUUACUAUGAGGUAGACUCGAUACCAUUCAACUUUGCUUUUGUUCAAAAACUAAACCCAUCGUGUAAAGCUCGGUGUAUCAAACAAAUCAUAGAGACCUCCCUGGAUGGACUGAAGGAGGAAUGGUGGCCCAACUUUGUGCUUGGUAGUCAUGAUGUCUCUAGAAUAGCGUCCAGAAUGGGGGACUCGUUUGUGAACGUGCUGAACAUUCUGCUGUUGACCGUGCCAGGGACACCGACCACGUACUAUGGGGAGGAGAUCGGGAUGAAGGACACCUUCUACACGUACAGCGAGAGUCGGGACCCGGCCGGCCUCAACUACAAGGAGGAUUACCUCAAGUACUCUCGAGACCCGGGCCGAUCGCCUAUGCAGUGGGAUUCCUCCACUAAUGCAGGGUUUUCUAAUGGAACACCGUGGUUGCAUGUCAAUUUGAAUUAUCCAGUUCUAAAUGUCGAGGAGCAACUGUCAAAAGAAACGUCUACGUUAAACAUUUAUAAAAGUCUUGCAAAGCUAAGACAACUUCCAUCGUUUACGAACAAGAAUAUUAUUUUUUCCACCGUUAACGAUGAUAUUAUCUCGUACGUGAGGAGUGAGUCUGGACACCCAAAAUACCUGGUGGUCUUGAACGUUGGGUCCCGAGAUUCGGUGGUGGACUGCCGUGGUCCUCCGUUGGGUGUGUCAAGUGCACAAGUUGUUCUGGCCGCCGGUAGUUCUCUUUUGGGAAUUUCUUCAUACAGAAUGGGAGACAUUGCUGAUUUACAGGCUAUUCGUUUGAAAUAUGCAGAGGGAGUGAUAUUUAAAAUAUGAAGUGUAAUAUAUAUUUUUUUAGUAAAUUUAUUAUUGUUUACAAGAAUCAAUAAGCUAAUGCUGUGUUUUGUCAAUUCUAAUUUAUAAUCAUUACAAAGGAAUAAAUAGAGAAAAAUC